GAUGAACGCCAGCGACAGGCCUAACACAUGCAAGUCGAGGGGCAGCACAUGCGUAGCAAUACAAUGGUGGCGACCGGCGCACGGGUGAGUAACACGUAUGCAACCUACCUGUAAGUGGGGAAUAACCCGGAGAAAUCCGGACUAAUACCGCAUAAUACUUUUGAACUGCAUGGUUUAAAAGUUAAACAUUUAUGGCUUACAGAUGGGCAUGCGUAUGAUUAGUUAGUUGGUGAGGUAACGGCUCACCAAGACAUCGAUCAUUAGGGGUUCUGAGAGGAAGGUCCCCCACACUGGUACUGAGACACGGACCAGACUCCUACGGGAGGCAGCAGUGAGGAAUAUUGGUCAAUGGGCGAGAGCCUGAACCAGCCAAGUCGCGUGAAGGAAGACGGUUCUAUGGAUUGUAAACUUCUUUUGUAAGGGAAUAAAAAAGAGUACGUGUACUUUCUUGUAUGUACUUUACGAAUAAGGAUCGGCUAACUCCGUGCCAGCAGCCGCGGUAAUGU
rnacentral:rRNA from 1 species